GUCUACGGCCAUACCACUGUGAACGCGCCUGAUCUCUGAUCUCGGAGGCUAAGCAGGGUCAUGCCUGGUUAGUACUUGGAUGGGAGAAGCACAGGCACAGAAAUCA
ensembl:rRNA 5S_rRNA 5S ribosomal RNA